rnacentral:rRNA from 1 species
AUUGAACGCUGGCGGCAGGCCUAACACAUGCAAGUCGAGCGGAUGAAGGGAGCUUGCUCCUGGAUUCAGCGGCGGACGGGUGAGUAAUGCCUAGGAAUCUGCCUGGUAGUGGGGGAUAACGUCCGGAAACGGGCGCUAAUACCGCAUACGUCCUGAGGGAGAAAGUGGGGGAUCUUCGGACCUCACGCUAUCAGAUGAGCCUAGGUCGGAUUAGCUAGUUGGUGGGGUAAAGGCCUACCAAGGCGACGAUCCGUAACUGGUCUGAGAGGAUGAUCAGUCACACUGGAACUGAGACACGGUCCAGACUCCUACGGGAGGCAGCAGUGGGGAAUAUUGGAAAAUGGGCGAAAGCCUGAUCCAGCCAUGCCGCGUGGGUGAAGAAGGUCUUCGGAUUGUAAAGCACUUUAAGUUGGGAGGAAGGGCAGUAAGUUAAUACCUUGCUGUUUUGACGUUACCAACAGAAUAAGCACCGGCUAACUUCGU